AUACGUAGGGGGCGAGCGUUGUCCGGAGUGAUUGGGCGUAAAGGGCGCGUAGGCGGCCCGGUAAGUCUGGAGUGAAAGUCCUGUUUUUAAGAUGGGAAUUGCUUUGGAUACUGUCGGGCUUGAGUGCAGGAGAGGUAAGUGGAAUUCCCAGUGUAGCGGUGAAAUGCGUAGAGAUUGGGAGGAACACCAGUGGCGAUGGCGCCUUACUGGACUGUAACCGACGCUGAGGCGCGAAAGUGUGGGGAGCAAACAGGAUUAGAUACCCUGGUAGUCCACACUGUAAACGAUGAAUGCUAGGUGUAGGGGGUAUCGACCCCUUCUGUGCCGCAGUCAACACAAUAAGCAUUCCGCCUGGGGAGUACGGCCGCAAGGUUGAAACUCAAAGGAAUUGACGGGG
rnacentral:rRNA from 1 species